CACCCUGUUGGUGUCCAGAGAGGAAUGUCCAGGGGUACCUCGCGCCAAAUCCCCACACCGAAGUCUCCCUUCUAGGGGAGCGAUAGCAUCUUCCUGGUUCUGGAACCCUUUGGACCCACCACACUCUGUCAUUCUCAGCGUGGUGAAGGUUCACCAUCUGGUGGUCCGGGGUCCCCUCCUGAGUGGGGACACACUUUAGCGGACUCGGCUGUAACCUCUCUGCGAUUGGACGGAACGAAAAAUGAAUGAGGAAGUUGGGAUCAAUCCCUGCCCUCGGCUCCAGCCUGCAGCGAGGAGCUCAGCAACGCCGACGCCGCGCCCCGGACCCCGCAGCGGGGAGUCCCGGGUGGUCAGGCGGCCCCGCGCCGGCCACACCGUCUCCCCUUAUCAAGACAACCGCGAAACACUCCGCCUUUCCAAAGAGCAAGUAUUCGAGACUAUCUUUUGCCUGAGAGAAAGUCAAUCGGGAUGUCACAUGUACUGAUGUUACGGAUUGAAUUGUGUCCCUCCAAAAUUCUUAUGUUGAAGUCUAAUUGCCAAUGUGACUGUUUGGAGACAGGGCCUAUUAGGAGGGAAUCAUCUUCCAAAACAUCUACUGAAGACUAGCUUUGAUGCCUCUACUCUCGGCAACUCCACCAUACCAACUACUUGAUCUGAAAUUGUAUAUUUGCUCUUUCCCCCCGACAUGACCAUGGCCACUUGAGAAUUGGGACUGUGAUUUUUUUAAAUCUGUGAAUCUCAAUCAUAUAAUGCCUGGCUUAAUAAGCAUUCAUUGAAGAGUAUUUUAAAAAGGAGUAAAAAAAUUCUUCAAAGGGCUUAAAACUUUGUGGAGGAUUCACGCCCAUCAGUGAAGGUCGUAAUUCAGAACAUGGGGUUUCAGAUCUUGCAUCAGGAUUUCCACAUCAGAAUGAGAAGAUCCUUGUGAGAUGAGAAACUUUUGGACCUGGAGUGGAAAGUGACUAAAUUAGGCCACAAAGCUAGUUUGCAAGGGCACCCUUUCCUCUAUUGCAAGCCUCCUGUUUUAAACACUUAACACUUCCAACUAUAUCUCCAAAUAACUUAAUUAUCUGUAGCUCAUUGUUUUUAGUAUAAUUAUGUGUUCAAUGUAUCUCCGACAAUGGACUUGCAGAGAACAUUUAAAUGUGAAUGCAUAGUCCACAUUUAGAAGAUGUUCAGUAUAUAUCUGUUGACUUAGAAAAUGAAGCCAAAACUAAAUCCAAAAUGUCCAUACGCCCAAUUUCUGCAUCUUCCUUGUUCCCCAUAUGGCCUCCAGUAUGUUGCAAAUAUUUAUUAUAUGACAAAGAUGUAGUUCUUGGAUACUAAUAAGUCAUGGACUCAAAAGCCUGGAGGUAUUUGGCAAAAUCAUUCUAUAAUGAAGUAUCUUUAUUUUGAUACCUUUCCAUUUGUAUAUUGUACUGAUGGGGAAAAAAUGAGAGACUAACAAAAAGUUCUGCACAGAAUUAGAAUCUAGGAGAGACGUGGACUGGACAGAGAGGGAAGAUAAAUUGUCAAGGGCUGGGAAUCUUGGUUUGCUCAUUAAUAGAAUGUAGAAUAAUUCCUGUUAAGGAAAGUUAAGUUGGAGCUCUGGUAGGAGAGCACAUAUACCUGACUUCCCAGGUAGAUGUUUAGGGUGUUAGAGUAGAAAAGGAUCAAAAAGAUCAUCUAGUCUAAAAUAUCUUCCAAUGAUAAGCAAACAUGUGGUCUGAUUAACAUCUACAGAAUUGGAGGCACACUACUACCAAAAUUAUAGGCAUAAAGUGGUAUGCACGUGUAGUGUGUGUGUGUGUGUGUGUGUGUGUGUAUCCUUUUAAGCAUAUACAUACCAUAAAAGAAGAGUUUUUAGAUCAGAUCAUUUGGUCAUCUUGGAGUUUUAGAAAAGGGGUGGGGAAGAAAAAAUGUAGGCCAAUUGCAUUUAACAGUAGUGAGUCACACAGAUCAGAGAAUGUGAUCUGAUCACUGGUGUAUUCAUUGUCAUGUCUAUUACGCUGAGGUGUCACAAUUAC